GAUUGAAAAGUGUCUGACUUCUAUUUGUCUUUCAGAAAUAGGAAUAAAUGAGUGGUAUUUUUGAGUUCCUUGAAUGGUUAUAGCCCUUGACCAUGCAGACUGUCCUAUUCUUAAAAACUGGUCUACUUAUAUUAAAAUUAAAAACAUCACACACAUCAUUAAACAGUCUGCAACAUCUAUCGAGAGCAUAACCGUAAGCAGUACAAUUUCCAGGAGUCCACAGAAAGUAAUAGUUGCGGAGACGGCGAGCUGGAGUGUGGAAAUUGAUGUUCCCGAGCAAACAACUGCAGUCAAUAUGAUUACUAAUCAUGUCAAAUAUGAACAUCCUCUGGAGGAAGACUCGGCGAUUUGUUAGUGUUUGCAGCCCAAUAAGCGCACAUCUAUGCUCGUACGGAGCUAGACUAGCUCUGGUAGCCAUACGUUUCAGUGUUCCUCCUAUAGCAUCACAUGGAUGGACAUCAGUUCUAUAACUCGUCGCUACUUGAUAGUUCGGUACGUUUAGAAAGCUGUAUCAACACGAAUCACAAAUUAAUUAAUUUACUGUUAAGUUGUUUCUAUUCCGCAAAACCCAGAUCAACCAAUUUCUGUAUAUUAGUAUCCGUGAGAUUUCAGCAAUUUUUCGAGCAAUUUUUUUAAACACAUAAUGCACUUAUAAUGAAAAGUAUUCAUUUUAACUACCACUUCGUCUUCUGAAUUACUGAACUUAAGCAGGUCACUUUCACAGAUACACAGAGAAUUAUAUUCGAAUGUUGAUUACGUGUCAGAUUUGGCUUAUAUAUGGACGUAGGUAAUUCAAAACCAACCCACAUGGUACCAUGAAUUGCUUAGCAAUAGAUAGCAUGUUAGCAUUUUAGCGAGGGGGGCGACUGUAUCUACGAUGCAGGAAAAAUUGUGUUUU